GACGAACGCUGGCGGCGUGCUUAACACAUGCAAGUCGAACGGUCAAAGAAGAGCUUGCUCUUCUGGAUCAGUGGCGAACGGGUGAGUAACACGUGAGUAACCUGCACCAGACUCAGGAAUAAGCGCUGGAAACGGCGUCUAAUACGGGAUACGAGAUAUUGCUGCAUGGCUACUGUCUGGAAAGUUUUGCGGUCGGGGCUGGACUCGCGGCCUACUAGCUUGUUGGGUAGGUCACGGAUGACCAAGCUAACCACGGGUAGCCGGCCUGGGAGGGCGACAGGCCACACGGGUACUGAGACACGGCACAGACUGCUACGUGAGGCAGCAGUGGAGUAGAUUACGUUGGGAGCUGAGGCCUGAUGCAGAGGCGCAGUGUGAGGGAUGACGGCCUUCGGGUUGUAAACCUCUUUUAUCAGAGAAGAAGCGAAAGUGACGGUACCUGCAGAAGAAGCACCGGCUAACUACGUG
rnacentral:rRNA from 1 species